UCUUUGAAUUUUUAAAAAGACAAUGGUAAUCAGAUCGACUUGAAAAAUUAAGUGAAUUGAUUUGGUUGGAACACUCUUUUACCAAUUCAGUAACAUUCAGCUUCUGGAACCUACAUAUCUGGGGUGAAGACGGCCUUUGGAUUAUUUUGCUGCAGUCCUAGGAAGAACUCUUUGCAGUCUCUUGGAGCUGGCUCUGAAAGGGGAAGUGGUAUGAUGUGUGUUCUCCACAGGAAAUGGAAAACGACAGCUGAACUGUGAGCACAGUUAUGGAGGAGCACUGCGGGAGUGCUCCAGCAGGCUCGCCUGGAUUUGCGCUACAGAUUUGCAUUUUCGGCAGGAAGGAGUUUGCUCUACAACACUGAGAAACCAGUCCUUAAAAAGAGUGAGAAUUUUGGGAUUUUAUUGAGCUGCCAAAUUCAGAAACACAGAGAGGCUAUGAAUCUAAACUUUGGGAGCCAGAAAGUGGAACUUAUGACAAACAGAAAGUGAAACUCACCUAUCUAAUUUUAUUUUUUGAGCCAAAGGUAGUUCAGUAUGGGCCCAGUUCACAUCCUGUGUAACCCUAUGGGAUUUUCCCCAGUAUUAGUUAAAAAUUUUCCCAUAGGGUCACACAGGAUGUGAAUUAAAGUAAACACUUAACAAGCAUGAUGAAAAGGAAAUUAGCUUUCUAAAUGACCCUUUCACUGUUAACAUCCUGAGUAGUUAUUAGAACAUGAGAAAGGGUCCCUUCAAUGUCUCGUUAUCAAGUGGUUACAUUAUUAAUAGUAUAUAUUAAUAUUCCUUCCUGUU